UCUCUCUUGAUCUCUCUUUCCCUCAUUUUCUUCAACUUGUUGUUCCUUCUUCGAUCUCUCUCCAACAAUCGAAGAAAAUAGAAGAAAGAAGAGAAAAUCGAAGGUACAAAUUCCAAAUGUAGUAUGGAUUGAUCGGAUGGUCAGUGGGAGCGACACUGGGUUAUGCACAGACUGCAAAGAUCAACCGUUGGAUGGACUUUGCCUUUCAUAGUAGUACCAACAGCUAUUGGAGCUUCCCUAGAUAUAAAUCUGAGCAAUGUGUCCCUUUUUUUCAUAUUUGUGACAUUUGCCACCAUGGUUGGUCUGUUAUUCCC